GAUGAACGCUGGCGGCGUGCCUAAUACAUGCAAGUCGAGCGAAUGGAUUAAGGGCUUGCUCUUAUGAAGUUAGCGGCGGACGGGUGAGUAACACGUGGGUAACCUGCCCAUAAGACUGGGAUAACUCCGGGAAACCGGGGCUAAUACCGGAUAACAUUUUGAACCGCAUGGUUCGAAAUUGAAAGGCGGCUUCGGCUGUCACUUAUGGAUGGACCCGCGUCGCAUUAGCUAGUUGGUGAGGUAACGGCUCACCAAGGCAACGAUGCGUAGCCGACCUGAGGGGGUGAUCGGCAACACUGGGACUGAGACACGGCCCAGACUCCUACGGGAGGCAGCAGUAGGGAAUCUUCCGCAAUGGACGAAAGUCUGACGGAGCAGCGCCGCGUGAGUGAUGAAGGCUUUCGGGUCGUAAAACUCUGUUGUUAGGGAAGAACAAGUGCUAGUUGAAUAAGCUGGCACCUUGACGGUACCUAACCAGAAAGCCACGGCUAACUACGUGCCAGCCGCCGCCGUAA
rnacentral:rRNA from 1 species